UCAGUACAAAUCGGGGGCUUUUCCUUCCUCUCUCUUCCCUCUUCUCACCAAAACCCUAACAAGUCUCUCCCUCGAUUAGCUUUCCCUUCUCGAAGCCAUGGAGGAAGACGAACCCCAGACACUAACCUCUUCCCCGGCCCCUGCGGUCGUCCCCCCAGCGGCGGCUCCGCCGCCCAUCGCCCCCAUCCCGCCGCCCCCCGCCGCCGUCCUCCGCGCCCGCGCCGGCGCCGCCCGCGCGGACUCCGACUCCGACCGCGAGGGCUCCUCUCCUCGCCCCUCCGCUGACGACUACGAGGUCUCCGAGGAGAGCCGCCUCGCCCGGGAGCGCCAGGAGAAGGCCGUCCAAGAGCUCCUGAUGAAGCGCCGAGCCUACGCUAUGGCCGUCCCCACCAACGACUCCGCCGUCCGCGCCCGCCUCCGCCGCCUCGGCGAGCCCGUCACUCUCUUCGGUGAGCGCGAGAUGGAGCGCCGCGACCGCCUACGCUCCAUCAUGGUCCGACUUGACGCCGAGGGCCAGCUCGAGCGCCUCCUAAAGGCCCACGACGACGAGCAGGCCGCCGCCGCCGCCGCCGCCCCGGCGGAGGAGGAGGGGCCUCAGCAGUACCCUUUCUACACCGAGGGAUCUCAGGAGCUUCUCCAGGCGAGGAUCGACAUUGCGAGGUACUCGCUUGCUAGGGCGGAGUCUAGGAUUGAGAGGGCGAGGCGUAGGAGGGAUGAUCCCGACGAGGACGAGGAUGCCGAGGCGGAGUUCGUUGUGAACCAGGCGGGUGGGUUUGCUCUUGAAUGCAGUGAGAUUGGUGACGACCGGCCUCUCUCCGGGUGUUCCUUCUCCCAUGAUGGAACAAUGCUUGCGAUAAGUUCAUGGAGUGGGGUUACUAAGAUAUGGAGCAUGCCAAAGGUAGAAAAAGUUGCAACCUUGAAGGGUCACACGGAGCGUGCAACUGAUGUGGCAUUCUCUCCUGUGGAUAACUGUUUAGCAACUGCAUCAGCUGAUAGAACUGCGAAAUUAUGGAACAUUGAUGGUUCUCUUAUUAGAUCAUUUGAUGGUCAUCUAGAUCGUCUUGCAAGGAUUGCCUUUCAUCCAUCUGGAAAAUACCUGGGAACUGCUAGCUUUGAUAAGACAUGGAGACUGUGGGACAUCAAUACCGGGACAGAGUUGCUACUUCAGGAGGGACAUAGCAGAAGUGUGUAUGGGAUUUGUUUCCAUCCUGAUGGAUCCUUAGUUGCCUCUUGUGGUCUUGAUGCUCUUGCUCGUGUAUGGGACCUUCGUACUGGUAGAAGCAUUCUUGCCUUUGAAGGCCAUGUUAAGCCAGUCCUUGGCAUUAGCUUCUCUCCUAAUGGUUAUCGUUUAGCCACUGGCAGUGAAGAUAAUACAUGCCGAAUAUGGGAUCUGAGGAAAAGAAAGAGUUUGUAUACUAUGCCAGCUCAUUCGCACCUUAUUUCACAAGUGAAGUUUGAACCCCAGGAAGGGUAUUUUCUGGCAACUGCAUCGUAUGACACCAAAGCAAUGGUAUGGUCAGCUCAAGAUUUUAAACCUGUCAAAACUUUGGCUGGACAUGAAGCUAAAGUUACCAGUUUGGAUAUUACAGGAGAUGGACAACAGAUAGCAACUGUUUCACACGAUCGGACUAUCAAGAUUUGGACCAGCCGAUGCAAAGAAAAGGAGAAGGCUAUGGACAUCGAUUAAAAUCAACUCAAUCUUGGGAUUCUUUUCUCAUUAUGUUUUGGCUGGAGCGCUCUUUGCUUCCCUGUUUGCUUGAGCUAUGGAUACAACUCUAAUCUGUUGCUGCAUGAGCAAAUCUUGGAGUAGCUCUUAGCUUUGUUUCUUAAUAUGUAUACUGGAACUGAUUACAUGCAAUGCAUAUGAAGGACCAGGUGGAUUCCUAGAUCUCAGCGAAGAAAUCAUAUGGUUGGACUCUGUUAGGUUUGUCAUGUGAUGGGUAGAUCCACGAUGCUUGACUUCUUUUAUGAGCUCCUGUUUUUGCCUUUUUUCCCCACAAAUUUCUGGAAAAAUGAGAAGAGAAACAGGAGGAUGCACGGGUGGAGAAGAGGGAUACGUUUGAUGAGGCUUUUGGGAACAUGAGGAGCGGGAUGUAUGGAAGCCUUGGGACAGCUUGAAUGCCAUUCUUUGGCUGUUGCUGUAGUAGUAGAUAUACAUAUUUUCAUGUAUUGUAAGAUUCAUUGUUUUCCUCUA